rnacentral:rRNA from 1 species
UACGUAGGGGGCAAGCGUUGUCCGGAAUCAUUGGGCGUAAAGAGCGUGUAGGCGGUCCGGUAAGUCGGCUGUGAAAGUCCAGGGCUCAACCCUGGGAUGCCGGUCGAUACUGCCGGACUAGAGUUCGGAAGAGGAGAAUGGAAUUCCUGGUGUAGCGGUGAAAUGCGCAGAUAUCAGGAAGAACACCAAUGGCGAAAGCAGCUCUCUGGGACGGUACUGACGCUGAGACGCGAAAGCGUGGGGAGCAAACAGG